UACGUAGGGUGCAAGCGUUGUCCGGAAUUAUUGGGCGUAAAGAGCUCGUAGGCGGUCUGUCGCGUCGGCUGUGAAACCUCGGGGCUCAACCCCGAGCCUGCAGUCGAUACGGGCAGACUAGAGUGCUGUAGGGGAGACUGGAAUUCCUGGUGUAGCGGUGAAAUGCGCAGAUAUCAGGAGGAACACCAGUGGCGAAGGCGGCCACCUGGACAGUAACUGACGCUGAGGCGCGAAAGCGUGGGUAGCAAACAGG
rnacentral:rRNA from 1 species